UACGGAGGGGGCAAGCGUUGUUCGGAAUUACUGGGCGUAAAGGGCUCGUAGGCGGCCAACUAAGUCAGACGUGAAAUCCCUCGGCUUAACCGGGGAACUGCGUCUGAUACUGGAUGGCUUGAGUUUGGGAGAGGGAUGCGGAAUUCCAGGUGUAGCGGUGAAAUGCGUAGAUAUCUGGAGGAACACCGGUGGCGAAGGCGGCAUCCUGGACCGGCAUUGACGCUGAGGCGCGAAAGCCAGGGGAGCAAACGGG
rnacentral:rRNA from 1 species